UACGAAGGGGGCGAGCGUUGUUCGGAUUUACUGGGCGUACAGGGCGCGCAGGCGGCGCAUUUUGUCAGGCGUGAAAUCCCCGGGCUCAACCUGGGAACUGCAUUUGUGACUGCAUGGCUAGAGUGCGGCAGAGGGGGAUGGAAUUCCGCGUGUAGCAGUGAAAUGCGUAGAUAUGCGGAGGAACACCGAUGGCGAAGGCAAUCCCCUGGGCCUGCACUGACGCUCAUGCACGAAAGCGUGGGGAGCAAACAGG
rnacentral:rRNA from 1 species